AACAUCUGGAAACGGAUGCUAAUACCGUGAUAUUAUGGUUUUUUCGCAUGGAGGAAUCAUGAAAGCUAGAUGCGCUAAGAGAGAGUCUUUGCGUCCCAUUAGCUCGUUGGUGAGGUAACGGCCCACCAAGGCAAUGAUGGGUAGCCGGCCUGAGAGGGUGAACGGCCACUAGGGGACUGAUACACGGCCCUUACUCCUACGGGAGGCGGCAGUUGGGGAAUAUUGGACAAUGGACCACAAGUCUGAUCCAGCAAUUCUGUGUGCACGAUGACGUUUUUCGGAA
rnacentral:rRNA from 1 species